rnacentral:rRNA from 1 species
CGAACGGGUGCGUAACACGUAUGCAACCUACCCUUCACAGGAGGACAGCCCCGAGAAAUCGGGAUUAAUACUCCAUAACAUCACGGAUUCGCAUGUUUCCGUGAUCAAAGUUCCGGCGGUGAAGGAUGGGCAUGCGGCCUAUUAGUUAGUAGGUGAGGUAACGGCUCACCUAGACUCCGAUAGGUAGGGGUCCUGAGAGGGAGAUCCCCCACACUGGUACUGAGACACGGACCAGACUCCUACGGGAGGCAGCAGUGAGGAAUAUUGGACAAUGGACGAAAGUCUGAUCCAGCUAUGCCGCGUGCAGGAUGACGGCCCUAUGGGUUGUAAACUGCUUUUAUACAGGAAGAAAAACUCCGACGUGUCGGAACUUGACGGUACUGUAAGAAUAAGGAUCGGCUAACUCCGUGCCAGCAGCCGCGGUAAUACGGAGGAUCCAAGCGUUAUCCGGAAUCAUUGGGUUUAAAGGGUCCGUAGGCGGUUUUUUAAGUCAGAGGUGAAAUCCUGCAGCUCAACUGUAGAAUUGCCUUUGAUACUGAAAGACUUGAGUUAUUGUGAAGUGGUUAGAAUGUGUGGUGUAGCGGUGAAAUGCAUAGAUAUCACACAGAAUACCAAUUGCGAAGGCAGAUCACUAACAAUAUACUGACGCUCAGGGACGAAAGCGUGGGUAGCGAACAGGAUUAGAUACCCUGGUAGUCCACGCCGUAAACGAUGGAUAC